GUAGCUAACAUGCACGAAGUAAUUCGUGGGGAAACGGAGUAAUCCGUAGUACCUCAGCUACACCAGACUACGUUCUUUCGGGGACGAUAAGCGCUCGAUUGGUCAAUACCUCAAUGGGAUUCGCUAGUCCCAAGCGGUUAGACGAGGAACAUCGCGUAGUUUGUGAACGUGGAAAACCGAAGUCAAUACCAAGCCAAUUGAGCAAUGUUGAAGCAAACUUUACCUUAUUUAGCAAUAAA
rnacentral:sRNA from 1 species